AAACACGGCUUCAGCAUCGGAAGUACAUUACGACUACAAGCUCAAAUUGCGGACCCACGCAAAAGACUUCAACUCAAGACAGAUACAGAAGCCACAAAAUCAGUGGAACUAACCACAAUCGUCCGAAAAAUCACAAAAACGAUUCACAUUUUAACCACGGAAAUGAAGUAUACCCAAGCCUAUUUAAAUGCUGCCUUGGCCCGCCGAUAAGACUCUAGGAAGAUUUCCGCCUGUUCUCUUAUCAAAACCGCCUGUUCUACCUUUAGAGCAGCAUGUUUUGCCUUUAGGGCCGACUUGUUCAAUCGCAAAUCUCGCCAAGACUCCUUCAAUUCGUCCAGCUUCUGGGGAUCCAUCGCAUGCAAUCCGAUUUCUAUUACCUCCCGAUCGAGCCCCGUUUCAUUGACCCGCAAUAAGGAAGACACGCUGCUCCAGUAUUCCGGUGGCUUCGACGGAGUAGCAGGAAGCGAGGCGGGCACCUCUCCUUCGUCGCCGGGUUUGCAUGCCGGAGGAGGACGGCCUCUG